UACAGAGGGUGCGAGCGUUGUUCGGAAUUAUUGGGCGUAAAGGGCGCGUAGGCGGUGCGGUAAGUCACCUGUGAAAUCUCCUGGCUUAACUGGGAGCCUGCAGGCGAAACUACCGUGCUGGAGUGUGGGAGAGGUGCGUGGAAUUCCCGGUGUAGCGGUGAAAUGCGCAGAUAUCGGGAAGAACACCCGUGGCGAAGGCGGCUCUCUGGGACGGUACUGACGCUGAGACGCGAAAGCGUGGGGAGCGAACAGG
rnacentral:rRNA from 1 species